rnacentral:rRNA from 1 species
UACGAAGGGGGCUAGCGUUGUUCGGAAUUACUGGGCGUAAAGGGCGCGUAGGCGGUUCUUCAAGUCAGGCGUGAAAGCCCCGGGCUCAACCUGGGAACCGCGCUUGAGACUGGAGAACUAGAGUUCGGGAGAGGAUGGUGGAAUUCCCAGUGUAGAGGUGAAAUUCGUAGAUAUUGGGAAGAACACCGAUGGCGAAGGCAGCCAUCUGGACCGACACUGACGCUGAGGCGCGAAAGCGUGGGGAGCAAACAGG